rnacentral:rRNA from 1 species
GAUGAACGCUGGCGGCGUGCCUAAUACAUGCAAGUCGAGCGAACAGACGAGGAGCUUGCUCCUCUGACGUUAGCGGCGGACGGGUGAGUAACACGUGGAUAACCUACCUAUAAGACCGGGAUAACUUCGGGAAACCGGAGCUAAUACCGGAUAAUAUAUUGAACCGCAUGGUUCAAUAGUGAAAGACGGUUUUGCUGUCACUUAUAGAUGGAUCCGCGCCGCAUUAGCUAGUUGGUAAGGUAACGGCUUACCAAGGCAACGAUGCGUAGCCGACCUGAGAGGGUGAUCGGCCCCACUGGAACUGAGACACGGUCCAGACUCCUACGGGAGGCAGCAGUAGGGAAUCUUCCGCAAUGGGCGAAAGCUUGACGGAGCAACGCCGCGUGAGUGAUGAAGGUCUUCGGAUCGUAAAACUCUGUUAUUAGGGAAGAACAAAUGUGUAAGUAACUAUGCACGUCUUGACGGUACCUAAUCAGAAAGCCACGGCUAACUACGUG